GGGAGUUAGCUCAGUUGGUUAGAGCGCCGGCCUGUCACGUCGGAGGUCGCGAGUUCGAGUCUCGUACUUCC
rnacentral:tRNA from 1 species